rnacentral:rRNA from 1 species
UACGAAGGGGGCUAGCGUUGCUCGGAAUCACUGGGCGUAAAGGGUGCGUAGGCGGGUCUUUAAGUCAGGGUGAAUCCUGGAGCUCAACUCCAGAACUGCCCUUGAUACUGGCGGUCUCGAGUCCGGGAGAGGUGAGUGGAACUGCGAGUGUAGAGGUGAAAUUCGUAGAUAUUCGCAAGAACACCAGUGGCGAAGGCGGCUCACUGGCCCGGUUCUGACGCUGAGGUGCGAAAGCGUGGGGAGCAACAGG